GGUUGUCCAUCGGGGCCUGGUUCG
rnacentral:piRNA from 1 species